AUGGGGCUUCCCAGGGCCCAGAACUAGGGCUCCCUCACCUGUGGUACUGAGCUUGAAGAAACUGGAAUUCCUCUUUGAUCCGGUCACAGAUUUCCAGUACUGAGAACUUGAAAGGCUGGCCAGACUGCAGCGGGGUCUGAGGGGGAGAGUGGGAAAGGACACUAGGAAGAAGACACAGAACUCUCUGCUCCUCCUGUACCAUGCCUGCCUGGAGGCCUUCAUGCACCUGUCUCGAUGAUUAUGGACUGACCCUCUGACUCUACCGAGGAACACACCUGGCUCCUGGGAAGUCUGAGAAAACAGUGUCCCACAAGCUGUCCCCAGGCCCCAGCGGUUCCUGAUUCCCGGCUUUUGGUGUCUGAGAACUUCUGAUCCCCAGAGGCCCCCGGGACUCCAGAAUCUCCACUCCCUGAGCUAUCGCCUUUGCCAACCCUCACCAUCUCCCCAAAUCAAGCUUGUUUGCUAUUGGUUGCGUUUCCCAAUCUAA
ensembl:antisense Gm15917 predicted gene 15917